GCUUCUUCUGCGAGUAACGUGACAGCUGGCAGUUAUUAGCUACCAACCUUUCCUCCUCGCUGAAAGUGCUUUACAACCCGAAGGCCUUCUUCACACACGCGGCAUGGCUGCAUCAGGGUUUCCCCCAUUGGGCAAUAUUCCCCA
rnacentral:rRNA from 1 species